CCGGCCGCAGUGAAGUGGGAAGACAUGCAACAAUUCCACAGAUCAGACUCCACCUGGGCCUACUGCUCUCGAGCCAUACGGCAUAUGGUCGCCUGCUCACCCACUGGUGACCAGGGGAAUUUUUUAUAUACCAAGAUCUAACCUUAAAAGACUGGUCUUGUUUAAGGAGACUGAAGUAGAGAAAGUUGGAAGAGGCAGAGUCUGAACUAACUGGUUCCAACACUGUCAGCUCUGUGAGGACUCCUCAGCUCUACAGCAUCUUUAAAUAUAACCAGUUAUUCUGUUCUUGCCCGAAAGGUGAUCCAGUAAGCUCCACAUGUGCAUCUUUCUGACAAUCAGAAACAUGCCUCAUGAGGGCUUGGCAUCCUUCAGAAGGACCUGUGCUCAGUAAUCCAGCUGAGAAUCAUAAGAUGUAUUUUGUCUCAGAAAGUGAGAUAUAGCACUAUGAUUUAUAAAAGGAGUACAAAAAUGUAAGUCAUAAUUUUUAUGACAAUCAUUAAGUUAUACACAGGGCAGUGACCAUGAGGGGAGCUGGAUGCUGCAUACACUGCAAUUUUGGACCUAAUGACUUACGGUUCAAACAUGCAACCUGGAACUCCUCCCUGAAUGUCAAUUAAGUCAUUUCAGAAUAGAGGUUGCCCUACCUUUUACCAAUGAGUAAACUUAUGACCAAUAUAGUGAUUAAAAGAGAGGAAUGCCCUAACUGUUAGGAUGCCUGGGUCAUUGACCCAGGGCUUUUGGGUUUAUUAUAUUAUUUAUCAUUUCUAGUCUUUGGUUUCUUUCUUAGAGUUCUGU